GCGAACCGGAUCUUCAUCCACACGGCGGCAUCGCGGAGAAGACUUCGACUCGAAGAAAGAACCUCGACCGUCGGAUGAGUCCUUGUAUCUUUUUCCGGUUCUGCCCCUACGGGCUUUCUAGUGUUUAUUUGAGUCUAGGGGUAAUGUAGUCUUUUUGGGUGAGAGUUGUUGGGGUUAAAAACCCCCUCACCCCCUUCCUCUCUCCUGCCUGUUUUUUCUUUCCCCUGGCGCAAGAAGGGAAGGGCGUCCCCGUCCAAUCCUGGGUUGUUCUUUCCCCUUCUCUUUUCUCUACUUGUCUAGGGUUAGGGAUCUCCCAUGGAGGAUUGAGUUUUUGUACCGGAAUUCGACGGGAAUGGAGGCCCCAUCCUCCUCUUGCCCUCCGGGCGUUGGAUUUUGAUUCAAUCUUGUCUCGCUGUUGGAUUUUGGUUUCCUUGUGUUGCGUUGCUGUGCAGGACCGGCUCUGUGUUUUGGCGCUGAUGCUUGGGGGCAAGCGGCAGCAGGCUUGGCAGGCACAGGCGCGCGCUUGGCCUUGACUGUGGUGGUGAGGCAAGUAGCCGCGCCGGCGGCGACUCCGCAACGCGCAGCAGGAAGCGGCAAGCAGUAGCGCUGGCUGCGGUGUUGGGCGGCGGCGCAAGGCAAGCCCUUCACUCCAGCUUCUGCAAGCGCCCUGCACGCGCAGCAAGCCAGCAGGCCAAAUCGGCACAUGGGCCAAGGCACCAGGCCACCACAGCAGCGACGUGCUCAGGUUCACUAGCCCGAGGAGCAGAGAGCUAGGUGCUUGAGCCUUGACGUUGCAUGCUUGGGAUGGGAGUAGCAGCACGAGUGCACCCACUUAUCAAUAUAUGUUGAAUAAAUGUUUUAUAAUAAAAUGUUUGGAUUUGGAGACUUUGAUGUUGUUUUAAAUUCUCUCACAUGGUUCUGUUUGUGAAAUGUUUGUUUCACUCUAGUGAAAUCUUUGUUAUUCUAUCUGAAUGAUUUCUAUUGCUUCCGCA